rnacentral:rRNA from 1 species
GACGAACGCUGGCGGCGUGCUUAACACAUGCAAGUCGAACGAAGAGCGAUGGAAGCUUGCUUCUAUCAAUCUUAGUGGCGAAUGGGUGAGUAACGCGUAAUCAACCUGCCCUUCAGAGGGGGAUAACAGUUGGAAACGACUGCUAAUACCGCAUACGAUCUAAUCUCGGCAUCGAGGAUAGAUGAAAGGUGGCCUCUACAUGUAAGCUAUCACUGAAGGAGGGGAUUGCGUCUGAUUAGCUAGUUGGAGGGGUAACGGCCCACCAAGGCGAUGAUCAGUAGCCGGUCUGAGAGGAUGAACGGCCACAUUGGGACUGAGACACGGCCCAGACUCCUACGGGAGGCAGCAGUGGGGAAUCUUCCGCAAUGGACGAAAGUCUGACGGAGCAACGCCGCGUGAGUGAUGACGGCCUUCGGGUUGUAAAGCUCUGUUAAUCGGGACGAAAGGCCUUCUUGCGAAUAGUGAGAAGGAUGACGGUACC